rnacentral:rRNA from 1 species
GUGGGGAAUCUUCCGCAAUGGACGAAAGUCUGACGGAGCGAUGCCGCGUGAGUGAAGAAGGCCUUCGGGUCGUAAAGCUCUGUCAUCAGGGACGAACGGCCGGUGGAGUGGAAAGCCACCGGAUUGACGGUACCUGAGAAGGAAGCCACGGCUAACUACGUGCCAGCAGCCGCGGUAAUACGUAGGUGGCAAGCGUUGUCCGGCAUUAUUGGGCGUAAAGCGCGCGCAGGUGGGACAUUAAGUCCAUUUGGAAAGUUCGGAGCUCAACUCCGUGAUGGGAUGGAAACUGGGAUUCUUGAGUACCGGAGAGGAAAGCGGAAUUCCCCGUGUAGCGGUGAAAUGCGUAGAUAUGGGGAGGAACACCAGUGGCGAAGGCGGCUUUCUGGACGGUGUCUGACAUUGAGGCGCGAAAGCUAGGGGAGCGAACGGGAUUAGAAACCCGGGUAGUCC